CAAAGUAGUUCCCCGAGGUACAUGGACACAAAGUAGUUCCCCGAGGUACAUGCACACAAAGUAGUUCCCCGAGGUACAUGGACACAAAGUAGUUCCCCGAGGUACAUGCACACAAAGUAGUUCCCCGAGGUACGUGCACACAAAGUAGUUCCCCGAGGUACAUGGACACAAAGUAGUUCCCCGAGGUACGUGCACACAAAGUAGUUCCCCGAGGUACGUGCACACAAAGUAGUUCCCCGAGGUACAUGGACACAAAGUAGUUCCCUGAGGUACAUGGACACAAAGUAGUUCCCCGAGGUACAUGGACACAAAGUAGUUCCCCGAGGUACAUGGACACAAAGUAGUUCCCCGAGGUACAUGGACACAAAGUAGUUCCCCGAGGUACAUGCACACAAAGUAGUUCCCCGAGGUACAUGCACACAAAGUAGUUCCCCGAGGUACAUGGACACAAAGUAGUUCCCCGAGGUACAUGGACACAAAGUAGUUCCCCGAGGUACAUGGACACAAAGUAGUUCCCCGAGGUACAUGGACACAAAGUAGUUCCCCGAGGUACAUGGACACAAAGUAGUUCCCCGAGGUACAUGGACACAAAGUAGUUCCCCGAGGUACAUGGACACAAAGUAGUUCCCCGAGGUACAUGCACACAAAGUAGUUCCCCGAGGUACAUGCACACAAAGUAGUUCCCCGAGGUACAUGGACACAAAGUAGUUCCCCGAGGUACAUGGACACAAAGUAGUUCCGAGGUACAUGCACACAAAGUAGUUCCGAGGUACAUGCACACAAAGUAGUUCCGAGGUACAUGCACACAAAGUAGUUCCCCGAGGUACAUGGACACAAAGUAGUUCCCCGAGGUUAGGCUUGCGAUUAUUUUCUCAUAAACAUCUAAAACUGGCAGUAUACAGAACAGCUACAAUGGUGAAAUGUCCCCCUGUUCUUGGCUAACCAUUUAGACUGUAACUGUGUUUGUGGGUCAGGUGCUAACCCUUACUC